rnacentral:rRNA from 1 species
AUUGAACGCUGGCGGCAGGCCUAACACAUGCAAGUCGAGCGGAUGAAGGGAGCUUGCUCCUGGAUUCAGCGGCGGACGGGUGAGUAAUGCCUAGGAAUCUGCCUGGUAGUGGGGGAUAACGUCCGGAAACGGGCGCUAAUACCGCAUACGUCCUGAGGGAGAAAGUGGGGGAUCUUCGGACCUCACGCUAUCAGAUGAGCCUAGGCCGGAUUAGCUAGUUGGUGGGGUAAAGGCCUACCAAGGCGACGAUCCGUAACUGGUCUGAGAGGGUGAUCAGUCACACUGGAACUGAGACACGGUCCAGACUCCUACGGGAGGCAGCAGUGGGGAAUAUUGGACAAUGGGCGAAAGCCUGAUCCAGCCAUGCCGCGUGUGUGAAGAAGGUCUUCGGAUUGUAAAGCACUUUAAGUUGGGAGGAAGGGCAGUAAGUUAAUACCUUGCUGUUUUGACGUUACCAACAGAAUAAGCACCGGCUAACUUCGUG